AAUCCAUGGUGAGGGCAUUGCAUGGUAAACCCUCUGAAUCUUUCCCAAGCCUCACAAAAUGAUUCAUGGUUCUUCUGUGUGAUCUCUGUUCUUAGCCU
rnacentral:snoRNA from 1 species